rnacentral:miRNA from 1 species
AUGAUAUAUAACAAGCAUGAG